UAGGCCUGGACAGGGAAGUUGCCCUGGCCCUGGAGAAAUCUGAUCUGCAGAACUGCACAAAUGCCUCUAUCCCUCUAAGGGAGAUCUCACACCCUGGCAAGGGGGAAUUUGGACACAAACGGACAUACAAGAAUGCCAUGUGACCCUGAAGGCAGAUAUCAGAUGAUGUUUCUACAAGCCAACAAAAUGCCAAAGAUUACCAGCAAACGACCAGAAGCUACGAUCAAGGAAUGGAACAGAUUCUCUCUCAGAGUCCUCAGAAGGAAGAACCCUGCUGAUACCUUGAUCUCAGACUUCCAGCCUCCAAAACUGGGAGAUGAUGCAUUUCUUUCGCUCCAUGAAGAAAGACAGAGGAAUUGAUGUGUGUUCAAGACUUGAGAGCCAUGGAGAGGAGCUGGUAUCACCACUGCCUGCAGCUCAGGCCCAU